rnacentral:rRNA from 2 species
UGGCGGCGUGCCUAAUACAUGCAAGUCGAACGAACUCUGGUAUUGAUUGGUGCUUGCAUCAUGAUUUACAUUUGAGUGAGUGGCGAACUGGUGAGUAACACGUGGGAAACCUGCCCAGAAGCGGGGGAUAACACCUGGAAACAGAUGCUAAUACCGGAUAACAACUUGGACCGCAUGGUCCGAGUUUGAAAGAUGGCUUCGGCUUUCACUUUUGGAUGGUCCCGCGGCGUAUUAGCUAGAUGGUGGGGUAACGGCUCACCAUGGCAAUGAUACGUAGCCGACCUGAGAGGGUAAUCGGCCACAUUGGGACUGAGACACGGCCCAAAUUCCUACGGGAGGCAGCAGUAGGGAAUCUUCCACAAUGGACGAAAGUCUGAUGGAGCAACGCCGCGUGAGUGAAGAAGGGUUUCGGCUCGUAAAACUCUGUUGUUAAAGAAGAACAUAUCUGAGAGUAACUGUUCAGGUAUUGACGGUAUUUAACCAGAAAGCCACGGCUAACUACGUGCCAGCAGCCGCGGUAAUACGUAGGUGGCAAGCGUUGUCCGGAUUUAUUGGGCGUAAAGCGAGCGCAGGCGGUUUUUUAAGUCUGAUGUGAAAGCCUUCGGCUCAACCGAAGAAGUGCAUCGGAAACUGGGAAACUUGAGUGCAGAAGAGGACAGUGGAACUCCAUGUGUAGCGGUGAAAUGCGUAGAUAUAUGGAAGAACACCAGUGGCGAAGGCGGCUGUCUGGUCUGUAACUGACGCUGAGGCUCGAAAGUAUGGGUAGCAAACAGGAUUAGAUACCCUGGUAGUCCAUACCGUAAACGAUGAAUGCUAAGUGUUGGAGGGUUUCCGCCCUUCAGUGCUGCAGCUAACGCAUUAAGCAUUCCGCCUGGGGAGUACGGCCGCAAGGCUGAAACUCAAAGGAAUUGACGGGGGCCCGCACAAGCGGUGGAGCAUGUGGUUUAAUUCGAAGCUACGCGAAGAACCUUACCAGGUCUUGACAUACUAUGCAAAUCUAAGAGAUUAGACGUUCCCUUCGGGGACAUGGAUACAGGUGGUGCAUGGUUGUCGUCAGCUCGUGUCGUGAGAUGUUGGGUUAAGUCCCGCAACGAGCGCAACCCUUAUUAUCAGUUGCCAGCAUUAAGUUGGGCACUCUGGUGAGACUGCCGGUGACAAACCGGAGGAAGGUGGGGAUGACGUCAAAUCAUCAUGCCCCUUAUGACCUGGGCUACACACGUGCUACAAUGGAUGGUACAACGAGUUGCGAACUCGCGAGAGUAAGCUAAUCUCUUAAAGCCAUUCUCAGUUCGGAUUGUAGGCUGCAACUCGCCUACAUGAAGUCGGAAUCGCUAGUAAUCGCGGAUCAGCAUGCCGCGGUGAAUACGUUCCCGGGCCUUGUACACACCGCCCGUCACACCAUGAGAGUUUGUAACACCCAAAGUCGGUGGGGUAACCUUUUAGGAACCAGCCGCCUAAGGU